rnacentral:rRNA from 1 species
GACGAACGCUGGCGGCAUGCUUUACACAUGCAAGUAGGACGAGUGGCGAACGGGUGAGUAAGGGAUCGGCACGUACCGAGUAAUGGGGGAUAACUGUCAGAAAGGACAGCUAAUACCGCAUAUUAUUCGAGCGGCCGUGGUCGUAUUAGCUGUGUGGCGGGGUAAAGGCGGACCAAGGCGACGAUCAGUAGCGGGUCUGAGAGGAUGAUCUGCCACACGGGGACUUGGACACGGCCCAUACUCCUACGGUAGGCAGCAGUGGGGAAUUUUGGACAAGGGGCGCAAGCCUGAUCCAGCCAUGCCGCUUGUCUGAAGAAGGCCUUCGGGUUGUAAAGGACUUUUGUCAGGGAAGCGGUACCUGAAGAAUAAGCACCGGCUAACUACGUGCCAGCAGCCGCGGUAAUUC